rnacentral:rRNA from 1 species
AACGAACGCUGGCGGCAUGCCUAACACAUGCAAGUCGAACGAGCCCUUCGAGUCUUUUGGCGCCCGGGUUCGUCGCGCGUCGGAACCUGCCCUUAUGUUCGGCCUAACUCCCCGACCGGGGUGCUAAUACCGGAUCAUAUCUUCUGCCCAAAGAUUUCUCGCCUUUGGUUGGGCCCGCGUUGGAUUAGCUCGUUAUUAGGGUAAAAGCUUACCAAGGCGACGAUUCAUAGCUUGUUUGAGAGGAUGAUCAGCCACACUGCGAUUCAGACACGGCCCAGACUCCUACGGGAGGCAGCAGUGGGGAAUAUUGGAAAAUGGGCGAAAGCCUGAUCGAGCAAUGCCGCGUGAGUGAUGAAGGCCGUAGGGAUGUAAAGCGUUUGUACCCGGGAUGAUAAUGACAGUACCGGGAGAAUAAGCGCCGGCUAACUCCGUG